AGCACUUGGACUUUAUAGGUGCAUUUAGGCUACUGCGUAACAGUUUUAGAUUGAUAAACAACUUGAAUCAUCAACAACUUGAAUCAAUAUCAAAGUCUACGUAAACAUAUUAUACGCAGUACUAGAUCUAGCUGAAAUGUAACAUUCGAAUGGUACAUAAAAACACUAACAACGAAAAAGUGACGUGUGGAAUUUUGGCUUACUAACAUCAUACUUGCAGGGACGGAGGGUGACAAAAUUCAAUAUGUAGGCUGCUAAUUUACUAGGGGGUCCGGAGGCAUGCCCCUUCGAAAAAGUUUGAAAUUCUGUAUCACCGAAGAUGCGUUCUUGGGCACAUUGAAACAUAAUUUGAGACAAAAAAGAAAAAUGUGUAGGCACGUACCAUAAGUGGCUAUAGAAAGCUACACCAAAGACUUGGUAACCUGUACGAAAUAUCACCUUUUCCACCGUGAAUAAGUCUGAAAGGUUUUUAACCUGAUUUGAACCUUAUGGCAAGGAGAUAUAACCAUACCCUACAUGGACGUGUAGUCAUAUACCAUUCUACCGUUUGAGACCAUGAUCGGGUACCUGGGAUAUCACAAAGGUGAGGGGCAGUUCAUACAAGGUGAACGGGUAGUGUUCGAACUUAGCAUACUUCAUUAUUUUGACGAUAUCUGGAAGGUUUUCGGCCUUGUUCGUGCUCCUGCGACCAAAAGAUACACAUGUGUACCCAUACUAUACAUGGACAUAAUCGGAAGAAGCUCUAGAUGUCAGAGUAGCUCUUACAUGGAUGUAUGACAGGGUGAUUCUAAGUAUAUGUAGACACUAUGUUACGCUCUUACCGUGAUUCGUUUGAGUCUCUGCAUGUUGGAUAGGACACCGGGCACAUUUUUCAUGCAAUCUCGCCAGGCAUAGACACAGAAAAUGACGUCAGCUAUUCCCGGCAGUACAGAAAAUAAAAGUAGACAGGCUUAACUUGAAAACGAAAUUCGCAUUUGCAUUUGUCGAUAGUCAGGGGUCACGCGCAGGGGUCACCCCGUCUAAAUGUAUGCGCGUGGACUUCUCUUUGAAAAUACCUGUUUUUUAGCACGACAUGCCAGCUUUUCAUCUACGAAACCAUAAACACAAAUCCCACGGAGCAACGGUAGAUCUAUAUCGAGAUUUUUUCAAAAGGUCCUUUUUGAUGUUGUCUGAAAGUGUCAGUAUAUGCCUCGGAUGUAAGAUAUUUCCGUAAUUGAGAGCUACACACCUAGACAUUUCAGAAAUAACUUCAAAAUGAAUUUCGUUUAAUAAAUGUUGAUUCUACGGAAGCGUGAAAGGGCCAUCAGACGCUAAUACGUUUUAUUACGUUACAGGAGCGGAAAGGAUAUGAAUGUGUAUAGGCUGGUAUAUGAUCAUUUUAUUUUUACUUUUUGUAAAGAGUUAGUAAAAUGUCUUUAAAGCUAG